rnacentral:rRNA from 1 species
UAGGGAAUCUUCCACAAUGGACGAAAGUCUGAUGGAGCAACGCCGCGUGAGUGAAGAAGGUUUUCGGAUCGUAAAGCUCUGUUGUUGGUGAAGAAGGAUAGAGGCAGUAACUGGUCUUUAUUUGACGGUAAUCAACCAGAAGGUCACGGCUAACUACGUGCCAA